rnacentral:rRNA from 1 species
UUCAACCUGAACUCAGACGUGACA